AUUUAUUGCUAUAAACUUUUCUUUUAGAACUGCUUUUUCAUUAGUGCGCAAUAGAGUAUUAUUUAGAAAAAGAACUGCUUUUCCUGCAUUUCUUAUAUUUUGAUAUAUUUUGUUUCCACUUUAAUUUGUCUGAAGAUAUUUUUUAGUUUUCCUUUAAAUUUAUUCAUUGAUCCAUUGGUUGUUAGCAUGCUGUUUAAUUUCCAUGAAAUAUGUAGAAAUUCCCAAAAUUCCUUCUGUUAUUGAUUUCUAGUUUCAUACCAUUUUGGCUGGAAAAGAUAAUUGAAAUAAUUUUAAUCCUUUUGUAUUUGUUAUUUCUUGUUUUGUGAACACACGAUCUAUAUUGGAGAAUAUUCUAUGUGCACUUGAAAAGAAUGUAUAUUAUGCUGCUUUUGGAUGAAAUUUUCUGUAUAUGUCUGUUAGGUCCCUUUGGUCUAAAGUGUAGUUUAAGUCUGAUGUUUCCUUAUUGAUUUUCUGUCUGGAUAAUCUGUCCAUUGUUGAAGCUGCGGUAGAGAAGUCCUUUACUAUUUUUGUAUUGCAAUCUAUAUCUUCCUUCAGAUCUAUUCAUAUUUGCUCCAUUCAUCUAAGUGCUCAGAUGUUGGUUGCGUAUGUAUUCACAAUUGUUAUAUCUUCUUGAUGAAUUGAUUCCCUGAUGGUUACAUAGCAAUUUUGUCUCUUUUUGAAGUUUUGACUUAAAGUUUAUUUUAUCUGAUAUAAGUAUAGGCACUCCUGCUCUCUUGGUUUUUAUUUACAUGGUUUAUCUUUUUUCAUCCUUUCACUUUCUUUCCAUAUGACUUUCAGUUAUAAAGUUGAAGUGAGUCUCUCUUAGCAGCAUACAGUUGGGUCACUUAAAAAAAUCAUUUAUUCACUCUCUCUUUUGAUUGAAGAAUUUAAUCUAUUUACAUUCAAGAUAAUUAUUGAUAAGUAAGAAGUUAGUACUAUCAUUUUAUUAUUAUUUUCUGGUUGUUCUGUAGAUUCUUUGUUCCUUUCUUCCUCUCUUGCUAUCUUUUUUAGUGGUUAGGUGAUUUUCUUUACAGCAUACAUUGAUUCUUUUUCUUUUUUUUUUCUUUUUUUUGAGACAGGGCCUCAUUCUGUCCCCCAAGCUGGAGUUCAGUGUCAUGAUCAUGGCUCACUGCAGCCUCGACUUCCCAGACUGAGAUCAUGGCUCACAGCAGCCUCAACUUCCCAGACUCAGAGACAGUGCUUCAUUAUGUUUCUCAGGCAGUCAAUAACUCCUGGGCUCAAGGGAUCCAGGCCACCACGGCCUCCCAAAGUGUUGGGAUUACAGGGUCUGGUGAUGAUAAACUCCCUCAGCUUUUGUUUGUCUGGGAAAGCCAUUAUCUCUUCUUUGUUUCUGAAGCACAGUUUGCCAGGUGCCUUAUGAGUUUUUGCAGAUAUACCCACAGACACUUAAAUGAACGAAACAAGGAACAACAAACAGGACACUUGCUACACAUGCCGAGGACCCUCACUUUAGGAAUAUGUAGAAAACAAUGUGGCAUUUUCAAAUGGAUAAAAAGCUGUUCAUAUCUCCCACAAUUGACUGAAUGUUCUAAGCUUAAAUAAACAAUUAUACAAAUAAUGACAGUGAAGUCAUACAAAACUAUUUAAUUAAUGUAUAUUCAAUUAUAAAUCCAAAGACAGGAAUUUUAAUGGUUCAGAUGACUCCAGUUUGCCCAUCCACUAGCAAGCACACAUCUUAUAUAGGGAAGAAAGUGGGAGACUAGAGCCUGCUGAUCCCUCAACUAGUCUUAGGUCUUGCCUGCUGCUCACGUUUAUGAGCAGCUUUUCAUUCUGAGGGUAAUUCUUGAGUUUAAGACACACCUUAGUCUUACAAUAUACUGCUUCAACACAAGCUAUCUUUUUAUCUGGUACUCAGCUGAAGAAGCCACCCUAAGAAGUAAGUGUACCCUUGAAUUUUACCUUGGGCUCUUUCUCUGGAAUCUCAUGCCUUGGCCUACCCCAUCACAAUGAGCUGUGACCCACACUAUGUUUUAUAAAAAGUGAUCUUAGCUGUUGCUUCUAUCCUUAGUGUUCAUUGUGUAUUUUCACUGUAGAAAGUUUCUAAAUACUUACAUAUUUCUGGGCCUUGUGGAAUUCUCUGGAGUACUCUUGAGGUAUUUCUCAUGGCAGGCCAGCUGCAAGAGAGUGGGUAGGGAAUGUGAGCCUUGUGGAAGUUAUACCCCCAGUGCCUAGCCAGCACAGUGCCUGGCCAGACUAAGUACUUGGCAAGCAUUACUUUUUAAAUGGAUGAAUGAAUACAUUGCUUUCAUUCAAAGAGGUUAAUGAUGACAUAUUCUUAACACAUGAAUAAUUCUUUAGUGCUUAAAUUACCAAUAAAUGCAAAGAGAAUCUGAAAACAAAGAUUUUUCUAAUUUUUCUGAUUGACACUGGUGUUUCAAUGCACAUUUAUGUAAUACAGACCUCAUCUACAUUUCUUACUUCUGAUGGAAGCAAGUAAGCCAGUUUAACAAAAAUAAACACUGGCAUGCAAUUAAAUUUUUGGAUAACCUGCACAUCCUUGGAAGCUUCAUUUACCUUUCCCUUUUUACUCAUUACCUUUUCUUAUGCAUCUAACACUGACAUCCAUCUCAGCUACCAUCAGCAUUUUGGAUUUUUCUUACUGAUAUGAACAUUUUUAUGCAGUUGUUUUUAGAAUUUCAAGAGUCAAGAGUGACCUAAGUAAUUACUAGGUGUUUUAACCCCUAGUGUGUAUUUUUGCAUAAUUUAAAGAUUCCAAGUCAUUGAAUUUUGCUAGUAUUUUUUCAUUUGCUUCAUUAAAUCAAUUAUACCUCUUGUAAAAAGUAAACUUUGUUUUCCUUAGAGCCCUGGAAACCAACAGGUAUACCCACAUUGCAGCCACUUAUUUCUUUCUUACUGAAAGAAUCCUAAGAGACAAUAAUAAUUAUUCUCAUAACAAAU
rnacentral:lncRNA from 1 species